rnacentral:rRNA from 1 species
GUCGAACGAUGAACCACAUUCGGUGGGGAUUAGUGGCGAACGGGUGAGUAACACGUGGGCAAUCUGCCCUUCACUCUGGGACAAGCCCUGGAAACGGGGUCUAAUACCGGAUAACACUUCUGCUCUCAUGGGCAGGGGUUAAAAGCUCCGGCGGUGAAGGAUGAGCCCGCGGCCUAUCAGCUUGUUGGUGAGGUAAUGGCUCACCAAGGCGACGACGGGUAGCCGGCCUGAGAGGGCGACCGGCCACACUGGGACUGAGACACGGCCCAGACUCCUACGGGAGGCAGCAGUGGGGAAUAUUGCACAAUGGGCGAAAGCCUGAUGCAGCGACGCCGCGUGAGGGAUGACGGCCUUCGGGUUGUAAACCUCUUUCAGCAGGGAAGAAGCGAAAGUGACGGUACCUGCAGAAGAAGCGCCGGCUAACUACGUGCCAGCAGCCGCGGUAAUACGUAGGGCGCAAGCGUUGUCCGGAAUUAUUGGGCGUAAAGAGCUCGUAGGCGGCUUGUCACGUCGGGUGUGAAAGCCCGGGGCUUAACCCCGGGUCUGCAUUCGAUACGGGCUAGCUAGAGUGUGGUAGGGGAGAUCGGAAUUCCUGGUGUAGCGGUGAAAUGCGCAGAUAUCAGGAGGAACACC